rnacentral:lncRNA from 1 species
GGAAGACAUGAAACAAAAUGUAGGUAAAUCUUAAAGACACUACUAUCAAGGUCCUGUUGGAUGGAGGGCAAUCGAAACCGAAAGAGUAAGGCCUAUGUGAAUGAAGGAUUUGUGAUCCAUUUCUGAUGAGCUGAUGCUGCUGAACGAUUCUGAGUGAUGAAGGUUCGCAGUUUCAGCUGCCACUGACCUUGCCCUCUGUAGGCAUAAACGCGGGCUCGUGAUGGCGGCCGCCUGAUCUCCCUC